CAAUCCGGUAGGACAAGCCAGUGCCUGAUCUCACCAUAUCUCAGAAAGUAAGCAGGGCUGGGCCUGGUUAGUACUUGAAUGGGAGACUCCAAGAAAUAUCAGGUGCCACAGUGG
rnacentral:rRNA from 1 species